rnacentral:rRNA from 1 species
UACAGAGGAGCCAAGCGUUGUCCGGAUUGACUGGGCGUAAAGCGCACGCAGGCGGACGCGCGCGUGGGGUGUGAAAUCUGGCCGCUUAACGGCCAGGCGCCAUCCCAUACGGCGGGUCUGGAGUGAUGCAGAGGGCGGUGGAAUUGCCGGUGUAGUGGUGAAAUGCGUAGAGAUCGGCAGGAACACCCAGGGGGAAACCAGCCGCCUGGGCAUCGACUGACGCUGAGACGCGAAAGCGUGGGGAGCGAACAGG